CUACGGGGCGCUCCAGGUAGGGAUAUUUUACAAUGCACGCAAGUGUGAUAAAGCGAGCCAGAGUGUUUUUCAUAUUUGAGAAACUUUUGUCUAUUGUAAAAAGAUAGACGAAUAAGGACUGGGAGAGACCGGUGCCAGCCGCCGCGGUAAUACCGGCGGUCCGAGUCGCAGCCACAAUUAUUGGGUCUAAAACAUCCGUAGCUUGUUUAGUGAGUUUCUUGUGAAAUCGUAUAUCUUAAGUAUAGGGCGUGCAAGAAGUACUGCUAAGCUAGAGACUGGAGGAAGUGAAGAGUACAGUUGAGGUAGUGGUAAAAUACGUUAAUCUCGAUUGGACUAACAAUAGCGAAGGCACUUCACUAAUACAGAUCUGACAAUGAGGGAUGAAGGCUGGGGUCGCAAAACGGAUUAGAUACCCCGGUAGUC
rnacentral:rRNA from 1 species